rnacentral:rRNA from 1 species
CAAGAAAAUAAGGGCUUACAAAGGAUACCUUGGCAUUCAAAGGCGAUGAAGGACGCGGUUACCGGCGAAACACUUCGGAGAGUUGGAAACAAGCUAUGACCCGGAGAUCUCCGAAUGAGGCAACUCCUAGAACUACUUAUUGAAUUCAUAGAUAAGUAAGAGUAAACCUGGUGAAUUGAAACAUCUUAGUAACCAGAGGAAAAGAAAGUAAAAACGAUUUCCUUAGUAGCGGCGAGCGAAACGGAAAAAGCCUAAACCUUUUUUAAUUUAAAAAAGGGGUUUUGGAAUAAUAUUAAAAAAUAAAAAGGUUAGAAGAAAUAGUUGGAAUACUAUACCAAAGAAAGUGAAAGUCUUGUAAUCGAAAACCAUAAUAAAAAUAAUUAUUUCCAGAGUAGCAUAGGGCACGUGAAAUCCUGUGUGAACAUGCGAGGACCACCUCGUAAGGCUAAAUACUAAUGAAUGACCGAUAGUGAAAUAGUACCGUGAGGGAAAGGUGAAAAGAACCCCGGGAGGGGAGUGAAAUAGAACAUGAAACUGUAAGCUUACAAGCAGUAGAAGAACGACUAUUAACGUUUGCCUGCGUGCCUGUUGAAGAAUGAGCCGGCGACUUGUAAUUAGUGGCAGGUUAAAGUACUUCGUACUGAAGCCAUAGUGAAAGCGAGCUUUAAAAAGCGUUGGUCACUAAUUACAGACCCGAACCCGGGUGAUCUAUCCAUGACCAGGAUGAAGCUUAGGUAAUACUAAGUGGAGGUCCGAACUGACUGAUGUUGAAAAAUCAGCAGAUGAGUUGUGGAUAGGGGUGAAAUGCCAAUCGAACUCGGAGCUAGCUGGUUCUCCUCGAAAUGUGUUUAGGCGCAGCGAUUAAUUUUAAACUUAAGGGUAAAGCACUAUUUCGGUGCGGGCUGGUAAUUCGGUACCAAAUCGAGAUAAACUCUGAAUAUUAAGUGUAUAAUUAAUCAGUAAGACUAUGGGGGAUAAGCUCCAUUGUCAAAAGGGAAACAGCCCAGACCACCAGUUAAGGUCCCUAAAUGAUUACUAAGUGAUAAAGGAGGUGGGAAAACUUAGACAACCAGGAGGUUUGCUUAGAAGCAGCAAUCCUUUAAAGAGUGCGUAAUAGCUCACUGGUCGAGUAGUCCUGCGCCGAAAAUGAACGGGGCUAAGUAAUCUGCCGAAACUGUGGGAUAUAUUUUAUAUCGGUAGAGGAGCGUUCUAUAGUAGGUUAAAGCGUUAACGUAAGUGGACGUGGACAAUAUAGAAGUGAGAAUGUCGGCUUGAGUAGCGAAAACAUUGGUAAGAAUCCAAUGCCCCGAAAACCUAAGGUUUCCUCCGGAAGGCUCGUCCGCGGAGGGUAAGUCAGGACCUAAGGCGAGGCUAAAAAGCGUAGUCGAUGGAUAAUGGGUUAAUAUUCCUAUACCGUUUUUAUUGACAACGAGGGACGAAGGUAGCUAGGCUAGCCAAAUGUUGGUUAUUGGUUUAAACGUUCGAGGUGUUGAAGGAUAGUGAAAAUAUCUUGAGCUAAGGCGUGAGUACAAAAUGCUACGGCAUUAAAGUAGCUGAUGUUAAACUUCCAAGAAAAGCUUGCACUGUCUUAAAUAAAAAUUGCUUGUACUCAAAACCGACACAGGUAGGUUGGUAGAGUAUACCAAGGGGCGCGAGAUAACCCUCUCUAAGGAACUCGGCAAAAUAACCCUGUAACUUCGGGAGAAGGGGUACCUUUUUAAGGUUGCAAUAACAAGGUCCAAGCGACUGUUUACCAAAAACACAGGUCUCCGCUAAGUCGUAAGACAACGUAUGGAGGCUGACGCCUGCCCAGUGCCGGAAGGUUAAAGAAGUUAGUUAACUGUAAAGUAAAGCUAAUUACUGAAGCCCCGGUGAACGGCGGCCGUAACAAUAACGGUCCUAAGGUAGCGAAAUUCCUUGUCGGGUAAGUUCCGACCUGCACGAAUGGCGUAACGACUUCCCCGCUGUCUCCAACAUAGACUCAGUGAAAUUGAAUUCCCCGUGAAGAUGCGGGGUUCCUGCGGUCAGACGGAAAGACCCCGUGCACCUUUACUACAGCUUCACACUGGUAUUCGUCACGACAUGUGUAGGAUAGGUGGUAGACGUUGAAGC